AGUUCAGCAAUUAACGCGCAAGAAAGCAGAAGAACUGUGACUGAGUCUUGAGUGUUUUCCUUAAAUUUCAGAUUUUCCUGUUCUUCACCCUUCUUCGCCCAAAAGACUGAGUGAAACAUGUGCAAAUUGCGCCCUGGUCUGCUGGUUCAUAGUGGUAGCAGACAUUUAAGGAACAUGCCCUUCAUCUACGAAGUGUAUUACAAUUUAAGAAGUGGUGCGGAAGAUUCCUGUUCAGUGUAACUGACUGUUGAAAGUGUGUUUGUGGGUGAAAAAUGGCACAAAACAUUUCAGCCGCCGUGUAUGGAGCUGUUUUAAAUGGGUCAUUCGAAGGCAGACCCUCCAAUGACUCCAGCCAGAAACUGGAAGAAUGCCAGGCGCUGUACCAAAACGAGACUGUGCUUUUGCAACAACUUUAUCCAGGUGAAUUUUGCAAAGUGUCCUACGAUCAGAUCUUCUGUUGGCCUCCAACGCCGCACAACACCACCGCCCAACUGAGCUGUUUUUCUGAGUUCUUCGGAAUCCGCUACGACG
rnacentral:lncRNA from 1 species